UCAAGUUUUUAAGGGCACACGGUGGAUGCCUUGGCAUCAGGAGCCGAUGAAGGACGUGGGAGCCUGCGAUAUGCCCCGGGGAGUUGGCAACCGAGCGUUGAUCCGGGGGUUUCCGAAUGGGGAAACCUAGCACCCGUCAUGGGGUGUUGCCGCCACCUGAAUGUAUAGGGUGGUUGGUGGUAACGCGGGGAAGUGAAACAUCUCAGUACCCGUAGGAAGAGAAAACAACAUGUGAUUCCCUGAGUAGUGGUGAGCGAAAGGGGAUCAGGCUAAACCAUGCGCGUGUGAUAGCCGGCGGGCGUUGCGUGUGUGGGGUUGUGGGAGCAUUCUUGUCUGGUCCGCUGACCGGGCGUGGAGUAAGAAAACAAUGAGGUAGUCGAACGAUCUGGAAUGGUCGGCCGUAGUCGGUGAUAGUCCGGUAGAUGAAACCUUGUUGUCUCCAUUGGGUGUUUCCCGAGUAGCACGGGGCCCGUGAAAUCUCGUGUGAAUCUGCCAGGACCACCUGGUAAGCCUAAAUACUUCCUGGUGACCGAUAGCGGACUAGUACCGUGAGGGAAAGGUGAAAAGUGCCCCGGUGAGGGGUCGUGAAAGAGUACCUGAAACCGUGUGCUUACAAGCCGUCAGAGCCUUGCAUUCCUUGUGGGUGUUGGGGUGAUGGCGUGCCUUUUGAAGAAUGAGCCUGCGAGUUAUGGUGUGUGGCGAGGUUAACCCGUGUGGGGGAGCCGUAGCGAAAGCGAGUCUGAAUAGGGCGUUUGAGUCGCAUGCUGUAGACCCGAAGCGGAGUGAUCUACCCAUGGGCAGGUUGAAGCGCGGGUAAGACCGUGUGGAGGACCGAACCCACCAGGGUUGAAAACCUGGGGGAUGACCUGUGGGUAGGGGUGAAAGGCCAAUCAAACUCCGUGAUAGCUGGUUCUCCCCGAAAUGCAUUUAGGUGCAGCGUCACGUGUUUCUUGCCGGAGGUAGAGCUACUGGAUGGCCUAGGGGGCCGACAAGCUUACUGAAGUCAGCCAAACUCCGAAUGCCGGUAAGUGAGAGCGUGGCAGUGAGACUGCGGGCGAUAAGGUUCGUAGUCGAGAGGGAAACAGCCCAGAUCAUCGGCUAAGGCCCCUAAGCGUGUGCUAAGUGGUAAAGGAUGUGGAGUUGCCGUGACAACCAGGAGGUUGGCUUAGAAGCAGCCACCCUUGAAAGAGUGCGUAAUAGCUCACUGGUCAAGUGAUUCCGCGCCGACAAUGUAGCGGGGCUCAAGCACACCGCCGAAGCCGUGGCAUCCCAACAAUACCCAAGCUGGUUUCUUCGGAGGCUGGUUCAGGGGUUGGGAUGGGUAGGGGAGCGUCGUGUGGGCGGUGAAGCGGCGGCGUGAGCCAGCCGUGGAGGCCACACGAGUGAGAAUGCAGGCAUGAGUAGCGAAUGAGGGGUGAGAAACCCCUCCGCCGGAUGACCAAGGGUUCCUGGGGCAGGCUAAUCCGCCCAGGGUAAGUCGGGACCUAAGGCGAGGCCGAGAGGCGUAGUCGAUGGACAACGGGUUGAUAUUCCCGUACCCGCUGACACGCGCCCAUGCUGAACCCAUUNNNNNNNNNNNNNNNNNNNNNNNNNNNNNNNNNNNNNNNNNNNNNNNNNNNNNNNNNNNNNNNNNNNNNNNNNNNNNNNNNNNNNNNNNNNNNNNNNCGCGGACUCCGCUUGGUUCCUUCGGGGACCUUGCCGGGGCGAGUGCGGGACCUGAGGUGGUAGUAGGCAAGUGAUGGGGUGACGCAGGAGGGUAGCUCAGCCCAGGCGAUGGUUGUCCUGGGGUAAGCAUGUAGCCUGCACCAUAGGUAAAUCCGUGGUGCGUUAAGGGUGAGAUGUGAUGCCGAGCCGAUUUAGGUGAAGUGAGUGAUCCCAUGCUGUCGAGAAAAGCCUCUAGCGAUGUGUGUCGGCGGCCCGUACCCUAAACCGACUCAGGUGGUCAGGUAGAGAAUACCAAGGCGAUCGGGUGAACUGUGGUUAAGGAACUCGGCAAAUUGCCCCCGUAACUUUGGGAGAAGGGGGGCCCCUGCUGGUGACCGACCUAGCGUUGUGAGCUGGUGGGGGUCGCAGAUACCAGGGGGAAGCGACUGUUUACUAAAAACACAGGUCCGUGCGAAGUCGUAAGACGCUGUAUACGGACUGACGCCUGCCCGGUGCCGGAACGUUAAGAGGACUGGUCAGCCCUUCGGGGUGAAGCUGAGAAUCUAAGCGCCGGUAAACGGCGGUGGUAACUAUAACCAUCCUAAGGUAGCGAAAUUCCUUGUCGGGUAAGUUCCGACCUGCACGAAUGGCGUAACGACUUCCCCACUGUCUCAACCACAGGCCCGGUGAAAUUGCACUACGAGUAAAGAUGCUCGUUACGCGCAGCAGGACGGAAAGACCCCGGGACCUUCACUAUAGCUUGGCAUUGGCGUUUGGAGCGUCUUGUGUAGGAUAGGUGGGAGACUAUGAGCCGGUGACGCCAGUUACCGUGGAGUCGUUGGUGAAAUACCACUCUGGUCGUUUUGAGCGUCUAACCCGCACCCGUGGAUCCGGGUGGGGGACAGUGCCUGGUGGGUAGUUUAACUGGGGCGGUUGCCUCCCAAAGAGUAACGGAGGCGCCCAAAGGUUCCCUCAGCCUGGUUGGCAAUCAGGUGUUGAGUGCAAGGGCACAAGGGAGCUUGACUGUGAGACAGACAUGUCGAGCAGGUGCGAAAGCAGGGCCUAGUGAUCCGGCACCACCGUGUGGAUGGGGUGUCGCUCAACGGCUAAAAGGUACCCCGGGGAUAACAGGCUGAUCUUGCCCAAGAGUCCAUAUCGACGGCAAGGUUUGGCACCUCGAUGUCGGCUCGUCGCAUCCUGGGGCUGGAGUAGGUCCCAAGGGUUGGGCUGUUCGCCCAUUAAAGCGGCACGCGAGCUGGGUUUAGAACGUCGCGAGACAGUUCGGUCCCUAUCCGCUGUGCGCGUAGGAGACUUGUGAGGGUCUGUCCCUAGUACGAGAGGACCGGGACGGACGAACCUCUGGUGUGCCAGUUGUACCGCCAGGUGCAUGGCUGGUUGGCUACGUUCGGUCGGGAUAACCGCUGAAAGCAUCUAAGCGGGAAGCCUUCCUCGAGAUGAGGUCUCCCAACCUUCAUGGUUGUAAGGCCCCCAGCUAGACGACUGGGUUGAUAGGCCGGAGAUGGAAGCACCGCAAGGUGUGGAGUCGACCGGUACUAAUAGGCCGAGUGACUUGAACA
rnacentral:rRNA from 1 species